CGUACGACGAGUUUGAUCCUGGCUCAGAAUGAACGCUGGCGGCAGGCCUAACACAUGCAAGUCGAACGCACCUUUCGGGGUGAGUGGCGGACGGGUGAGUAACGCGUGGGAAUAUGCCCUUUGGUACGGAAUAGUCCUGGGAAACUGGGGGUAAUACCGUAUGUGCCCUUCGGGGGAAAGAUUUAUCGCCAAAGGAUUAGCCCGCGUUGGAUUAGGUAGUUGGUGGGGUAAUGGCCUACCAAGCCGACGAUCCAUAGCUGGUUUGAGAGGAUGAUCAGCCACACUGGGACUGAGACACGGCCCAGACUCCUACGGGAGGCAGCAGUGGGGAAUCUUAGACAAUGGGGGAAACCCUGAUCUAGCCACGCCGCGUGAUCGAUGAAGGCCUUAGGGUUGUAAAGAUCUUUCAGAUGGGAAGAUAAUGACGGUACCAUCAGAAGAAGCCCCGGCUAACUCCGUG
rnacentral:rRNA from 1 species